UACGUAGGGGGCAAGCGUUGUCCGGAUUCAUUGGGCGUAAAGAGCGUGCAGGCGGCCAGGUAGGUCGGUUGUGAAAACUGGAGGCUCAACCUUCAGAGGUCGACCGAAACCAUCUGGCUAGAGUCCGGGAGAGGAGAGUGGAAUUCCUGGUGUAGCGGUGAAAUGCGCAGAUAUCAGGAAGAACACCCGUGGCGAAAGCGGCUCUCUGGAACGGUACUGACGCUGAGACGCGAAAGCGUGGGGAGCGAACAGG
rnacentral:rRNA from 1 species